CCAAUCGAUGAAGAGGAACUCAUCUCCUUCAUCAUUGGAGGGCUGGACAUGGAGUAUCAACCCGUUGUCUCGACCUUAGAAGUCCGCACCGAGCCUCUCAUCAUCGAUG
rnacentral:snoRNA from 1 species